ensembl:lncRNA
GAUUGCAAAUUAUAUACUUAUUACUUCACACAUUAUUUAAAUGUGGAGUGUUUCCGUUUUUCACAGGAGCGAGCCAGUCGUGAGGUGAUUAACGUGUCCCAGCUGGUGAUCCCUGCUGAACUGGGAGGGCUGCUGCAGGCCACUGCAGCUGGUAAGGAGUUGCAUUCAGAGUGCCUGGCUUUGGUUCAGGCUCCGAGAGUACAGGUCGAUCCUCAGCUCACUCUCCCUCUGGAUAUCAACAACCACCUAAUGAC